UCGCCGCCCGUGACACCACAGCAAGUGUCCUCACUUGGGUCGUCAAAUACCUCCAUGACAACCCAGUUUUCCUGCAAGCUGUUAUUGUAAGCAAAUAUUAAUAAUCUAUCCAUCUGUAUAUAUAAUUUAAUUUAUACAACUGUAUAUAAUUGGAUCCGAUCGUCGACCUAUACAGGCUGAACAAGAGGAUAUCAAAAGGGAGAUGAGAGAGGGUGAUAGAUCUGUACUGACAUGGGAAGAUACGAAGAAGAUGACAAUGACCUCAAGAGUGCUCCAGGAGACCAUGCGAAUGGCUUCUGUUCUUUCCUACACAUUCAGAGAAGCAGUGGAAGAUGUGGAAUAUGAAGGUUAAUUAAUUUAUUAAUUAAAUUAAUUGUGUUAUAAAAUUUGACGAUACUCUAGAAGAUUCGUUAGAACGGUCCCGGCCAGAGCACCUCUAGAUUCGUUCGGCAUGGUCCGACUUGUUUCGAAAGGUGGAAGAAAAUCAAUAAAUAUCAAUCUCGAUCUUAGGAAGGAGAUCGAGAAAACACGUUACAUUUGAACUACACACUUAUCACCGAUUAAUCGUAAUACAUGAUCAUGUAGG
rnacentral:lncRNA from 1 species